rnacentral:rRNA from 1 species
CCCAAACCGACACAGGUGGUCAGGUAGAGAAUACCAAGGCGCUUGAGAGAACUCGGGUGAAGGAACUAGGCAAAAUGGUGCCGUAACUUCGGGAGAAGGCACGCUGGUGUGUAGGUGAAGUCCCUGCGGAUGGAGCUGAGACCAGUCGAAGAUACCAGCUGGCUGCAACUGUUUAUUAAAAACACAGCACUGUGCAAACACGAAAGUGGACGUAUACGGUGUGACGCCUGCCCGGUGCCGGAAGGUUAAU